rnacentral:lncRNA from 1 species
AUGUGCAUACACUCCAUGUGUCCAUCCUCUUAUGUGCAUAUGCUCCACAUAUCCAUUCUCAUAUGUGCAUACACUCCAUGUACCCAUUCUUUUAUGGGAAUACACCCCAUAUAUCUUUCAUCUUAUGUAAAUACACAAUAUGUACACUCCACGUGUCCAUUCACUCAUGUGCAUACACACCACAUAUCCAUUCUCUUGUGUGUUUACACUCCUUGUAUCCAUCCUCUAUGUGCACACACUCCUCGUAUCCAUCCUGUUAUGUGCAUUAAGCCGUGUGUCCAUUCUCCUAUGUACAUACACUCCUUGUAUCCAUCCUUUUAUGUGCAUACAGUCCUUGUAUCCGUUAUGUGCAUACACUCCGUGGAUCCAUUCUCCUAUGUGCAUACACUCCACGUAUCCACCCUCUUAUGUGCGUACCUCUGUGUAUCCAUCCUCUUAGUGCAUACACUCCAUGUAUCCAUUCUCUUAUGGGCAUACAGUCCUUGUAUCCAUUCUUUUAUGUGCAUACACUCCAUGGAUCCAUUCUUCUAUGUGCAUACACUCCAUGUAUCCAUCCUCUUAUGUGCAUACCUCUGUGCAUCCAUCCUCUUAGUGCAUACACUCCAUGUAUCCAUUCUCUUAUGUGCAUACAGAAUAUGUAUCCAUUUUCUUAUGUGCAGUCACUCCAUGUAUCCAUCCAUCCCCCUCUGUGCCUACACUCCAUGUAUCCCUCCUGUUACGUACAUAUACAACGUGUAUCCAUUCUAUGUGCAUGCACUCCUAGUAUCCAUCCUAUUAUGUGCAUAUACUCCGCAUAUCCAUUCUCUUAUGCGCAAGUGCUGCAUGUAUUCAUUCUCGUAUGUUAUACAUCACAUCCCUUCAUUUGCAUACACAACCUUUAUCCGUUCUCUCAUGUACAUACACUCCACGUAUCCGUUCUCUUUUGUGCAUUAUACCACAUGUAUCUGUUCUCUUAUGUGCACACACUCCAUGUAUCCAUUCUCUUAUAUGCAUAUACUCCAGGUAUCCAUAAUCUUAUGUGCAUAUACUCCAUAUAGCCAUCCUUUUAUGUGCAUACACAACAUGUAUCUAGUCUGUUAUGUGCAUACACACUAG